UCCCCGACUUCCGGGGCAGUCUCCUUAGAGUUCCCGACUUGACUCGCUGGCAACUAAGGAUAGGGGUUGCGCUCGUCGCGGGACUUAACCCAACAUCUCACGACACGAGCUGACGACAGCCAUGCAGCACCUCUAUGGCGGCUCCCGAAGGAGAAGCCUUGUUUCCAAGACGGUCCACCACAGUUCAAGCCCAGGUAAGGUUCUUCGCGUUGCAUCGAAUUAAACCACAUGCUCCACCGCUUGUGCGGGCCCCCGUCAAUUCCUUUGAGUUUCAACCUUGCGGUCGUACUCCCCAGGCGGGGUACUUCCUGCGUUAGCGCCGGCACCCAGAGGGUCGCUCCCCCAGGCACCUAGUACCCAUCGUUUACGGCGUGGACUAC
rnacentral:misc_RNA from 1 species